CCUCCUCUUGGACCGCAGCCACCCAUCAUUGAUACCUCACACUUGACCAUCCAACCCAUGAGUAGAGGUAUCAGCGUCUAAAGGAUAGAGCAUUAGGUUUGGGUCGGUGUAUCGAUUGGGAAGCCCUUCAGACUGUUGGUUUAUUUGCACUGGUUCAUUCGUUAUUGGGAGCAACUCCAUGGGAAUAGUUCUUCAUGAUUGUAGAGUCGAUGUAUACAGAGCUUAUUUUGGAGUUUUGCUCUACUUUUUUCCUACAGACAGUGCUAUCGUCGGAGGACGAACCACGAGCGAUCUCACUUUGUCUUAAGGGUAUCACUUGAAAUUUUAGUAUUGCAGGAUUUGGAGUUGCGCUCGGCUUAUAUUCUGAUGAUUUCUAGGCCACACCCGAGUUCUCCACCCUCCAGAGGCACAUCCAUCGAUCAGUUUCUCUCUGUUGGCCUGACAUCUCUAAGGUUGUCACUUAGUACAACCCAAGCUAGUCCAAGGCUUGACGCCUACCUUCGGCCCUGUGCUACAUUCACACAAUUUUAGCUCACACUUUGAUUGCUCAGAAGGAGUGUACGAGCAUCGUAGGCACUUGAGAUGCAUACUUCUUAUGGAGCAUGCACAGGCACUACCCAAUUGAUCUAGCCUAUUUUGUGGCCUAGUGUUGUCAUCAUCAGAGUGAGUGAUUAUAGAGAUGAUCCAUUUGUAUGGGUCCAUAUGUGACAUGCCUGGCUCAUCACUUUGGCCUCCUUGAGAACCUCGAGUAGAUUGGUACUCUUACUUUGAUUAGAGAUAUAACACCAUAGGGUUUAAGUAUAAUGAGCCAUAUGAAGAUGAUUCAGUGCCAGCAUAGAGCGAGUCCCAUCGGUAUACAUUGUUGCAUCUGGAUCCUCAAGAGGAGCACAAGGAGCUUCUGGAUCCUCCUCUACAUAUGAACCCAACUUGAUCCUCUCCCCUUCCGAGUCACUCUACUACUGCAUAUUCUGUUACACUCGAUGACAUUCUGAGCGGAUUGAUCACUUUGAGCACCGACACUCUGAUCAAAUCUACUAAAUUGAGCUACAUCAAACAGAAUGGAUAGAUCGGUUAGAGCAACUACACUUGGAGCACUUCAACCAAAUUCAAAACCAUUAGGACCACCUCAAGGUAUCAUGCCGAAAAUCAAUAAAGCAACAAUUUCCAAGGUUCUGCACUAUGCCAUCCCUCAUUGCAUGCCAAAUAUUGUAGAUUCUAUUCCAAAUUUGAGACUCAUUUCUACUAACAGUAAAUUUUGGAACUGAAUUUCCCAUAUUGGACUUCGUAUGUAAAACCUUUACCUAUAAAUGAUCCUUUUUUCACAACAAGAUGGAAAGCUAGUUUCAUGAGGAAACUGUAAUUCAAGAAUCCAAUUUACAAAAACCCAAUCCCCUACCAUCCUAAUUUUUACAAAUAUCCUUCUAUUUCACAAGGUUAGUUCCCCGCUUCCCAUUAUUGUGGCCCCAAAUGAAGCUUU
rnacentral:lncRNA from 1 species